rnacentral:rRNA from 1 species
UACAGAGGGUGCAAGCGUUAAUCGGAAUUACUGGGCGUAAAGCGUGCGUAGUCGGUUAUUUAAGUCGGGUGUGAAAGCCCCGGGCUCAACCUGGGAAUUGCAUUCGAUACUGGAUAGCUAGAGUUCGGCAGAGGGAAGCGGAAUUUCCGGUGUAGCGGUGAAAUGCGUAGAUAUCGGAAGGAACACCGGUGGCGAAGGCGGUUCUCUGGGCAUUACCUGACGCUGAGGAGCGAAAGCAUGGGGAGCGAACAGG